UUAAUGAAUUUACGCUGCUGUGUUGUCGUAGAUGUAGAUAAUCACUGUUAAUCAUUUAAUUGUCUUUUGAGGGUAUAGAAACUAUCAAUUUAAUAUCGCUUGGCAUGUUUUGUUAUUUCAGGUAGCUGCCCUGGUCCCCCAGUGCGAACUUGAUACUGAAAUUGAUAGUGAAUACCGAGAUGCACAAUCAAGAAUCACAACCCAAGCAUUACGAAAAAUACAUUCUUAUUAACCAGAUUAGAUCAAGUUCAAAGUCAGGGAAAGAAUUUGGACCUAUGGGUGAGGUUACUUGUGGUGGAAAUGCCUUGAAAUUGUAUGCAGGCGGUACAGUUGAGACUUAAGAGAAUACAGUUGCUUUAGACCGAGGAUAAGGCUACAGGUCUUGGGAUUUCUGUGCAAGUUGUGAAAAAUAAUUUAGCACCUGCAAUGAAGAAGCCCAAUCUGGGGAUACAGUUCGAGAGAGGCUUAGGUUGUGAAUCAGAGGUAUUGCAGUUGGCUUGUGAACACGGGGUCAUUGCCAAAGAAGGAAGCAACUACCACAUAGGACAAAAGGUUUUUAGUAAUGAACAUGCAGCAUAACAGGAUCUGGCCAAAAAUGAUGCGCUUUUUUAUGAGGUAGUCACAAUCUUCAGGAAAAUACUGUUUGAAAGAUAGAGUUGACUAGACGGCCCUUACUGAAUGAGCAUCUGUCAAAUGUGGAGUGUAAAAUGGUGGGGUCAUCUGGUCACAUCCCGUGUCAUGAUGCUACCUGAAGGUAUGGAUGACAUUCCGGUUUAGGAUGCAGCUAAGUUCUCUAAAAAAAUUGACGUAGGCUAAAUACAAUCCAAACCAUAAAAGAUGGAAGUUUUUCCGUUAUCCUCCACCUUCAGGUUAUCAUAUGUAAAAUGGUUGGAAUUGUUCCGUUGUUUGUGUAGUAACACAACCACAACACAGUCCACUUUCA